CUUUUGAUACUGUGUACAAUGUUAUCCUGGUUCUGCUCAUCUCACUCAUCAUCAGUUCAUUGUAAUCCUGUGCCUUCACUGUCCUCGUAACACCAGGAGAAACCACAGCCAAGAUGGAGAAGGAAGGACUAACCUUGGGUCCUGGUUUUCUGCAGAGAAAAGGAAGGGAGGAUGGCCUUCUAUGGAAAAAGAGAUGAUACAGAUGCUGAACUCUGCUGCGAAGCCACAGGAGACAGGAGGAGAAAGGACCUGAGGAAAGGAAAGGACUAUUGCCCAUGAGGGCUCUGAGAGAGUAACCAAUCCCGUCAUGUGGCUGCAAGUUGAUGUCUCCAGGGUCAUGACCGCACAGCCUAUGAAAGGUUAGAACGGAAAAGACUUUUCUACAAGUCUCCCCCUCUCCCUCCUGUCUGCCUUUUCCUUCUCCCAGUGGUGGAUUUUGAGAGGUGGAAGGAAGGAUGUAUCAAACAGAAAGAAUAAAGAACCCCUGCCAUUUACCCCUACCAUGAAAAACUUGGACCUGCACAAGAUUAGGUGGCAGCCGUGUGUUGCUGAUUAACAGCAGUGAGCAAGAGGGAAAUCAGAAUUCAGCGGGCUUGUUUUCUUUAGUAGCCCACUGUGGAUACAAGUUGCAUUUCAAAGAAAAAAUGGGACCAGAUCUGUAGCAAUUCAGCUCAUGGUCUGGGAAUGGAGAGGGGCAGGGGGCCAUGGAGGGACAGAAUAUACAUUUAAGGACCAACAGAACAUCAGCAGAGCUUUUAAAUCACAGAUUCACUUCCUCAUGCAUGACCUGUGAUUCAAAAGGAUGUUCAAUUAUCUCUUGAUUUCUGGAGGGUUGAAUCAGCCAACAAUCCACAAAAUACAUCUUUUUUUUUGGAAUCAGAAAGUAUCACAUGCAUCAGCAUUCUCUUCUUAAGUAUAUUUACCAUGAGUUAACAAUAAGAUGAGUUUACAUUACUAGAGUCCCAGACUGGGUAAAUGAUGGGAGAAGACAGACUGGAGCUGGGAGGGGGCUUAGUUUUCCUCUAGAUAUUCUAAAGAUGAGCUGAAAAUGAUAAAAAUUGAACAGAACAAUUUGCAGACAUUAUUUCAUUGGAACCUUACAAUGGCCUUGGAAGGUAGGAUCUACAGGCAUUAUUAGUAUACUCCCAUUUUAAUAAAAUAACCAUUUUUAUUGAAAGUUUUGAGUUCCAAAUUUUAUCCCUCCUUCUCUCCCUUCCCUCCC